UACGGGGGGGGCAAGCGUUGUUCGGAAUUACUGGGCGUAAAGGGCUUGUAGGUGGCCAACUAAGUCCGACGUGAAAUCCCUAGGCUUAACCUAGGAACUGCGUCGGAUACUGGAUGGCUUGAAUCUGGGAGAGGGAUGCGGAAUUCCAGGUGUAGCGGUGAAAUGCGUAGAUAUCUGGAGGAACACCGGUGGCGAAGGCGGCAUCCUGGACCGGUAUUGACACUGAAAAGCGAAAGCCAGGGGAGCAAACGGG
rnacentral:rRNA from 1 species